ACCUCGGAUCAGGUAGGAAUACCCGCUGAACUUAAGCAUAUCAAUAAGCGGAGGAAAAGAAACCAACAGGGAUUGCCCCAGUAACGGCGAGUGAAGCGGCAACAGCUCAAAUUUGAAAUCUGGCCCCUCGGGGUCCGAGUUGUAAUUUGUAGAGGAUGCUUUUGGUGAGGUGCCGCCCGAGUUCCCUGGAACGGGACGCCACAGAGGGUGAGAGCCCCGUCUGGCUGGCCACCGAGCCUCUGUAAAGCUCCUUCGACGAGUCGAGUAGUUUGGGAAUGCUGCUCAAAAUGGGAGGUAUAUGUCUUCUAAAGCUAAAUAUUGGCCAGAGACCGAUAGCGCACAAGUAGAGUGAUCGAAAGAUGAAAAGCACCUUGAAAAGAGGGUUAAAUAGUACGUGAAAUUGUUGAAAGGGAAGCGCUUGUGACCAGACUUGGGCGCGGCGGAUCAUCCGGGGUUCUCUCCGGUGCACUUCGCCGCGUCUAGGCCAGCAUCAGUUCGUCGCGGGGGAAAAAGGCUUCGGGAACGUGGCUCCUCCGGGAGUGUUAUAGCCCGUUGCAUAAUACCCUGCGGUGGACUGAGGACCGCGC
rnacentral:rRNA from 1 species